AAUAAAAUAAAAUAAAAUAAAAACUCAAGUAGAAACAUAUGCUUGACCCACUUCUCUCUUGUCUUUGAGUUUUUUGUAUGAAAAUAAACUUCUCAAAAUGUAAAUUUUUUAUAUUUGGGUAGUAAUCAUAAGCACAAAAACAUAUUUGGCUUCAAAUUGAAACUGAAGUAAGGUUUUUUUUGUGUAAUUAACCCACUUGGGUUAUUUUCAACAUUCAGUCAUCUUUCUUUGCUUUUCCUUCUUUUUCUUUUCAUUUUUAGUUAAGAGGGAACAACAUUCCAUUCAUGUUAUGGUGUCUGAAAUUAUUAUUCAUGAGGCUUUUAUAUCACGUCUGAACUCCUGAAAAGGGCAUCACAAAAAAAUGGGGAAACAGAAGAUGUCUCUUCACAAUUCAAAAGGCUCAGAAGAAGGCACUUCUCAAAAUUUUUGUUAAAGCAACUAAAAAGUGCUUCCAAGGUGCAUUUGGGAUGUUUUGAUAUGAAUAUUUAAAAACAUCUCAAAAGCAGUCUAUAUUUGUUUUUUUUUUUUUUUUAAUUGCAUGA
rnacentral:misc_RNA from 1 species